rnacentral:rRNA from 1 species
GAUGAACGCUGGCGGCGUGCCUAAUACAUGCAAGUCGAGCGAACAGACGAGGAGCUUGCUCCUCUGACGUUAGCGGCGGACGGGUGAGUAACACGUGGAUAACCUACCUAUAAGACUGGGAUAACUUCGGGAAACCGGAGCUAAUACCGGAUAAUAUAUUGAACCGCAUGGUUCAAUAGUGAAAGACGGUUUUGCUGUCACUUAUAGAUGGAUCCGCGCCGCAUUAGCUAGUUGGUAAGGUAACGGCUUACCAAGGCAACGAUGCGUAGCCGACCUGAGAGGGUGAUCGGCCACACUGGAACGGAGACACGGUCCAGACUCCUAAGGGAGGCAGCAGUAGGGAAUCGUACGCAAUGGGCGAAAGCCUGACGGAGCAACGCCGAGUGAGUGAUGAAGGUCUUCGGAUCGUAAAAAUCUGUUAUUAGGGAAGAACAAAUGUGUAAGUAACUAUGCACGGCUUGACGGUACCGAAUCAGAAAGCCACGGCUAACUACGUG